rnacentral:rRNA from 1 species
CAGUAGCCGCGGUAAUACGUAGGUGGCAAGCGUUGUCCGGAAUUAUUGGGCGUAAAGGGCUCGCAGGCGGUUUCUUAGGUCUGAUGUGAAGGCCCCCGGCUCAACCGGGGAGGGUCAUUGGAAACUGGGAAACUUGAGUGCAGAAGAGGAGAGUGGAAUUCCACGUGUAGCGGUGAAAUGCGUAGAGAUGUGGAGGAACACCAGUGGCGAAGGCGACUCUCUGGUCUGUAACUGACGCUGAGGAGCGAAAGCGUGGGGAGCGAACAGGAUUAGAUACCCGACUAGUCCCUGUCUCUUAUAC